AGCAGCCGCGGUAAUUCCAGCUCCAAUAGCGUAUAUUAAAGUUGUUGCAGUUAAAAAGCUCGUAGUUGAAUUUCGGGGUUAGUAGGUUGGUCAUGCCUCUGGUAUGUACUGGUCUCACUGAUUCCUCCUUCCUGAUGAACCUUAAUGCCAUUAAUUUGGUGUUUUGGGGAAUUUGGACUGUUACUUUGAAAAAAUUAGAGUGUUUAAAGCAAGCUAACGCUUGAAUACAUUAGCAUGGAAUAAUGAAAUAGGACGUUCGAUCCUAUUUUGUUGGUUUCUAGGAUUGACGUAAUGAUUAAUAGGGAUAGUUGGGGGCAUUAGUAUUCAAUUGUCAGAGGUGAAAUUCUUGGAUUUAUUGAAGACUAACUACUGCAAAAGCAUUUGCCAAGGAUGUUUUCAUUAAUCAAGAACGAAAGUUAGGGGAUCGAAGACGAUCAGAUACCGUCGUAGUCUUAACCAUAAACUAUGCCGACUAGGGAUCGGAUGAUGUUAAUUUUUUAAUGACUCAUUCGGCGCCUUACG
rnacentral:rRNA from 1 species